AGUGAACGCUGGCGGUAGGCCUAACACAUGCAAGUCGAACGGCAGCACAGUAAGAGCUUGCUCUUACGGGUGGCGAGUGGCGGACGGGUGAGGAAUACAUCGGAAUCUACUUUUUCGUGGGGGAUAACGUAGGGAAACUUGCGCUAAUACCGCAUACGACCUACGGGUGAAAGCAGGGGAUCUUCGGACCUUGCGCGAUUGAAUGAGCCGAUGUCGGAUUAGCUAGUUGGCGGGGUAAAGGCCCACCAAGGCGACGAUCCGUAGCUGGUCUGAGAGGAUGAUCAGCCACACUGGAACUGAGACACGGUCCAGACUCCUACGGGAGGCAGCAGUGGGGAAUAUUGGACAAUGGGCGCAAGCCUGAUCCAGCCAUACCGCGUGGGUGAAGAAGGCCUUCGGGUUGUAAAGCCCUUUUGUUGGGAAAGAAAAGCAGUAGGUUAAUACCCCGCUGUUCUGACGGUACCCAAAGAAUAAGCACCGGCUAACUUCGUG
rnacentral:rRNA from 1 species